GUUGGGUAUUUGGAGAUAUGUUUCUAAUCCCUGCUAUUGAAGAGGCUGAGGCUAGUGGAUCACUUGGGCUCAGGAGUUCUGAGUUGCAGUGGGCUAGGCCAGUCUAGUGUCCACACCAAGUAUUGAACACAAUGUGGUGAACCCUUGGGAGCAGGGGACCACCAGGCUGCCUAGGGAAAGGUAAACUGGCUUAGAUCAGGAAAAGAGAGGAGGUUAAAGCUACUGUGAUAAUCAGUAGUGGUAUCUGACUGGUGAGUGCUCACUGCACUUCUCACUUGGGCAAAAUAGGGAGACCUAGUCUCAA
rnacentral:SRP_RNA from 1 species